UACGUAGGGGGCAAGCGUUGUCCGGAUUUAUUGGGCGUAAAGAGCGUGUAGGCGGCUAGAUAGGUCCGUUGUGAAAACUCGAGGCUCAACCUCGAGACGUCGAUGGAAACCAUCUGGCUAGAGUCCGGAAGAGGAGAGUGGAAUUCCUGGUGUAGCGGUGAAAUGCGCAGAUAUCAGGAAGAACACCCGUGGCGAAGGCGGCUCUCUGGUACGUGACUGACGCUGAGACGCGAAAGCGUGGGGAGCAAAAGG
rnacentral:rRNA from 1 species